ACUCCUGACCUUAGGUGAUCCACCUGCCUUGGUCUCCCAAAUUACUGGGAUUACAGGUGUGAGCCACCACACCUGGUCAGAUGCAAGUUAUUUUGAGCUAAACAGAAGAGCUACCAACAUCCAUGUAAAAUAACUAUAAGAACAAAAUAAAAAAAGUUUUAACUAAUGAAAAUUCUUCCCACCAACCACAAUUCCAUCCAACAGGCAAAAAGCAGAGGAAAACUAACAUAAUACUUUUUGUAUGAAGUAAAUAUCAUUUAGUAAUCAGCUGCAGCUAUAAAGAAUACCAAAAAUCAGACAUUAAAAAACUCAAAAUAGAAGUGGACACAAAGCAGAAAGCUGUAAAAUGAGAACUGACUAAAUUCAGGAAAGAAGUAGAAGAAAAAGCCAAAAUAAUCAUGAGAUACGGAAACUAAAUUACAUUGUGUCCACGGGAAAAUAGGUUAGCCUAAAAAUUCAAGAAGGAACAUUGAUAAAUAAAUUUAAAACAGCCAAGAGAACCCAAAACAAAUUUGGAAAAGAAGGAAAAAUAUCGGAAAAAAAAUGAGAGAUAUAGAAGAUAGACAGAAGUUAACAUAUGCAUCAUUGACGUCUCCAAAGAAGAGAAACGUGACAAUGAAACAAAGCUAUAACUGGAGAUAGUUUUCUGGAUAUAAAAUAAAACAUGAAUUUUUGGGACCAAAGGUACCUGGAGAAAAACUGACUCAGUAUCAUUAGCCUCAGUGAAAUGCAAAUCAAAACCACAAUUAUAGCCACUAGGAUGGCUAUAAAAAAAAUGUAACAACGUGUUGAAGAGGAUGUGGAGAAAUUGGAACUCUCAUACUUGGCUGGUAAGACUGUCAAAUGGAGGCUGGGCACAGUGGGUCACACCUGUAAUUCCAACUCUGCCAGGCUAACGUGGUAGGAUCGCUAGGGCCCAGUAGGUCAAGGUUGCAGUGAGCUGUGAUCGUAGCACUGCACUCCAGCCUGAGCAACCGGGCGAGGCCUUGUCUCAAAAGAAAGGAAAAAAAAAAAAGUAUGUCAAAUAAUACAGCCACUUUGGAAAGCAGUCUGGAAGUUUCUCAAAAAUUAAACAUAAAGUUACCAUAUGACCCAGCAGCUCCACUCCUAUGUGUAUAUCCAAGAUAAAUUAAAACAUAUGUUCACACAAAAAUUUGCACAUGAUUGGUUAUUGCAGCAUUAUUCACAAGAGCCAAAAAGUGGAAACAACCCAAAUACCCAUUAACUGAUGAAUUGUUGCUCAGAUGGAAAUGGGCUGCCAUGUUGUGAGCUGCCUCGUGGGGAAGAGGUUCACAUGUGAGGAACUGAGGGAGGCCUUCAGAAAACAGCCAGUGAAGAACUGAGACCCUCAGUCCAACAGCCUGUGAGGAACUGAAUCCUGCUGACAACCAUAUGAAUGAGCUUGGAAGCAGGUCCUUCCCCAGCGAAGCCUUCAUGUGAGACUGCAGCCCACUUGACACUUUGAUUUGUAGCCUUGUGACAGACCCCAAGCCAGAGGAGCCAGAACUUUGGAAAUUUGCAUCUGGAAUGACUAGGUGAAGUGAAUUAGUUUUGCCAACUGUAUGAUUCAGGCUGCAUCAACAUCUAUGUACAACCCACAGACUUCAUGUCCAACAUUCACGUCUUAUGGCAUUGUCUCAUCGUUAAGCAUCUUGAGAGACCUAAAGGUAUGAGAGGGACAAGGAAAGAGGGUGGUGAUCCUGUUGCCCUUGUGGGUAGAACCGCGGAGGCAGUGGUGCAGUUCUCAAGCAUGACCACAAGGUGGAGUCCGUAGUAAGUGGAAAUGGUUUACUCUGGGUGGAAGGGGACGCGGCGGGAUCCUGGAGCAGGUUCGGUGGCAGUCGCAGAACCCUCCGUCCAGUUCUGCAGGAACCAUCAGUAUGAAUUCAGAAUGUAUUUCUUGAUACUGUCCAUGGAAAAGACCUAGAAACAGUGACCAACCCUAUAAUAAUGAGCACCCCUAGCCUCUAGACUGUGGUCUCACGUGACCAUUUCCCACUAAAAGGAACCAGGACUAUUUGGAGAAAUCAUUGGGUCCAGGUCUUGGGCAGGAAACAUCUGAGAUGAACCUGGAAGAACUUGUCAUACCACAGCACUCCGAAGCUUUCAGUGAAAACUGAGGUCAUGCUAAAAGGAUUCGGGAGCUGACUUGACUGACCAAAGAUGGGGUGAUUUCAACAUCAACAUGGAUAAAAACUGCAAGGGAUUAAAACACAUCAAAUAUAUUUAGAGCUAUGAGUUAAUAAUAUUGCUAAAAAGAAAUGUGUUUCUUCUGUUGGAGGAUGCUAGAAAAGUAACUCAUUCUGAAUACUGGUAAAUAAAAAA